rnacentral:lncRNA from 1 species
UUCCAUUUAGUUAGCAUUAGGGUUUUAAACCCUAAACUGAACUCUUCCAUUUAGUCAGUAUUAGGGUUUUAAACCCUAAACUGAACUCUUUCCAUUUAGUCAGCAUUAGGGUUUUAAACCCUAAACUGAACUUUCUCUAUUUAGUCAGCAUUAGGGUUUUAAACCCUAAACUGAACUCUUCCAUUUAGUCAGCAUUAGGGUUUUAAACCCUAAACUGAACUCUUCCCUUUAAUCAGGAUUAGGGUUUUAAACCCUAAACUGAACUCUUCCCUUUAGUCAGCAUUAGGGUUUUAAACCCUAAACUGAACUCUUCCCUUUAGUCAGCAUUAGGGUUUUAAACCCUAAACUGAAUUCUUCCAUUUAGUCAACAUUAGGGUUUUAAACCCUAAACUGAACUCUUCCCUUUAGUCAGCAUUAGGGUUUUAAACCCUAAACUGAACUCUUCCAUUUAGUCAGGAUUAGGGUUUUAAACCCUAAACUGAACUCUUCCCUUUAGUCAGCAUUAGGGUUUUAAACCCUAAACUGAACUCUUCCCUUUAGUCAGCAUUAGGGUUUUAAACCCUAAACUGAAUUCUUC